rnacentral:rRNA from 1 species
UACGUAGGGGGCUAGCGUUGCUCGGAAUCACUGGGCGUAAAGCGCACGUAGGCGGAUUGUUAAGUCGGGGGUGAAAUCCCGAGGCUCAACCUCGGAACUGCCUUCGAUACUGCGGGUCUCGAGUCCGGGAGAGGUGAGUGGAAUUCCUAGUGUAGAGGUGAAAUUCGUAGAUAUUAGGAAGAACACCAGUGGCGAAGGCGGCUCACUGGCCCGGUACUGACGCUGAGGCGCGAAAGCGUGGGGAGCAAACAGGG